GCUUCUGUGUCUUUCCACCUGCUUUCCCUCUGUAGGAAGGACUCGGACACGGUAACUUACCUCAAGUCGUCCAGUGGCGUAGAAACAAAGGGUGAUUGAUGGAGGAAGAAAAUUGAGUUGAAAGCCUUUGAACUCGGCUGUCACCAUAUUCCUAUAAGAAACUCCCACAAUAUCUUUUAGAGAGAAAUGUAAUAGGAAAC